UACGAAGGGGGCUAGCGGUGCUCGGAAUUACUGGGCGGAAAGCGCACGUAGGUGGCUUUUUAAGUCGGGGGUGAAAUCCUGGAGCUCAACUCCAGAACUGCCCUCGAUACUGGGAAGCUUGAGUUCGGGAGAGGUGAGUGGAACUGCGAGUGUAGAGGUGAAAUUCGUAGAUAUUCGCAAGAACACCAGUGGCGAAGGCGGCUCACUGGCCCGAUACUGACGCUGAGGUGCGAAAGCGUGGGGAGCAAACAGG
rnacentral:rRNA from 1 species